GUGCUCACUUUGGCAGCACAUACACUAAACUGAAACAACAUACAGAUUAGAUGGCCCCUGCUCAAGGAUGACAACAAGGUUGUGAAGUGGUCCAUAUUGUA
rnacentral:snRNA from 1 species